AAUAUGGCGAUGAAGAGAAUUAGUACAUGGUAGCGGGCAGCAGAGAGGACAUCGUAAUGGUGAAAGAUGUCUGGCAGGCGCACUGUGGAACCGGUCUUGGAGCCACUGUAUGAAAAUGCAGCGUUUCCGUCAGCGUUAAUGAUGAAUGAAGAGAACUGCAAAAGGGUUGCAGUUAACUAGGGUGGUACCGCCGAGCUUUUCGGUCCCUUUU
rnacentral:ncRNA from 1 species